rnacentral:rRNA from 1 species
AGCGAACGCUGGCGGCAGGCCUAACACAUGCAAGUCGAACGAACCUUUCGGGGUUAGUGGCGUACGGUUGUGUAACCCGUGGGAACGUGCCUUUAGGUUCGGCAUACCUCAGGGACACUUGUGCUAAUACCGAAUGUGCCCUUCGGGGGAAAGAUUAGUCGCAGUUAGAGCGUCCCGCGUCUGAUUAGCUAGUUGUUUGAGUUAAUGACUCACCAAGGCGAGGUUCAGUAGCUGGUAUGAGAGGAUGAUCAGACACACUGGGACGGGGACACGGCAGAAACUCCUACGGGAGGCAGCAGAGGGGAAUCGUGCGAAAUGGGCGAAAGGAUGACGCAGCCAGGAUGGGUGAAUGAUGAAGGUAUGAGGAUAGUAAAAUUCUAGCAACGGGGAAGAUAAUGACGGUACCCGGAGAAGAAGCCCCGGCUAACUUCGUG